rnacentral:rRNA from 1 species
GCUCAACCGAAGAAGUGCAUCGGAAACUGGGAAACUUGAGUGCAGAAGAGGACAGUGGAACUCCAUGUGUAGCGGUGAAAUGCGUAGAUAUAUGGAAGAACACCAGUGGCGAAGGCGGCUGUCUGGUCUGUAACUGACGCUGAGGCUCGAAAGUAUGGGUAGCAAACAGGAUUAGAUACCCUGGUAGUCCAUACCGUAAACGAUGAAUGCUAAGUGUUGGAGGGUUUCCGCCUUUCAGUGCUGCAGCUAACGCAUUAAGCAUUCCGCCUGGGGAGUACGGCCGCAAGGCUGAAACUCAAAGGAAUUGACGGGGGCCCGCACAAGCGGUGGAGCAUGUGGUUUAAUUCGAAGCAACGCGAAGAACCUUACCAAAUCUUGACAUCCUUUGACCGCUCUAGAGAUAGAGUCUUCCCCUUCGGGGGACAAAGUGACAGGUGGUGCAUGGUUGUCGUCAGCUCGUGUCGUGAGAUGUUGGGUUAAGUCCCGCAACGAGCGCAACCCUUAAGCUUAGUUGCCAUCAUUAAGUUGGGCACUCUAGGUUGACUGCCGGUGACAAACCGGAGGAAGGUGGGGAUGACGUCAAAUCAUCAUGCCCCUUAUGAUUUGGGCUACACACGUGCUACAAUGGAUAAUACAAAG